rnacentral:lncRNA from 1 species
GAGGAAAUAAUGCCACCACUAUAAUCCUUCCCACAGCUUUAAUACAUCUGUAUUCCUGGGAUCAUAGAUUUGGAACUUAAAGACCUAAUUUAGAAAGACAUAGAGUCUGAUCCUCUUAUUUUACAGGGCUUAUUUGGGGAAGACAGGACAAGGAUGGAGGAUAAGGCUAGCUGAUGGCUGUCCUUGCAGGAGCUUGGCCUCUGGCCAAGCUUCAUCUUUAAUCUUUCUCUAUUCACCUCUCUGACCUGUGUGGUAUGGAUCUCUGGACUGGAAAAGCCUACGGAAUGGUCCUUUGAUUAGAGCUUAGCUGUGGCUCAUUGAUAA